ensembl:lncRNA
AUGAGCACAAAAUCCUCAGAUUCCCUUAACGCCAUCGAUGGUGCAGACUCACAGUGCAGUUUAUUCACAGGACCGAACGACGGUACUUUGCUUUCACCACCACCCGAAAGGAAAGGACAGGAUGGUGUUUCUCUUCCUCCCUUGACAUCAGCAACAUACAGUACCUAUUCUGCCACAGUGACACCUCAGCCAAGUUACUAUGAAGGAUGCCUUAUCGACCAGCAUUAUAGCCAGCAGGGAUCACAGCCAAUCCACCAGCCGGUGUCCUCUGGUUGUUCGACCCAGGAGAAUGUGGAGAACAUCCCCAGUGUUUCUGCAAGGUUUGAUGCAGAGAGAGAGAGCCAUGGCUUUGGCUCGUCGGAGAAAGCCUAUAAUAAUAAUAAUAAUAAUAUGGGUGGCUUUUUCCUUCGCAACACCUCAAACACAAUCACCAAAAUGCCAGAUAUUAUUAGCUACCCGCCCAUAGAUGGAGAGGAAUUGGAAAGGAGUGGAUUGGAGUCAUCCUUUUGUAAUAACUUAAUAGUUGUAAAAGACAUUUGUUGCACCUCGUUCCAAGAGGAUUCGGUGAUGCGUGACCCUCCGCCCGAAGAGAAUUCUGAAAGUGUUCAUUUGGGCAGCCGAGAGGGUGCAGAUAACCUUUCCUUUAGCGUAGGACUCGAUGUUGACAAAGAUAACAAUUUGAACAGAGUUGAUGUCCCAGUCUCCUCAUCAGAAAGCAGUCGCCCUACAGACAACCUAGAGCGGCCACAGACACUAAGUGCCGACCGCAGUCCAACAACCGGGUCGCAUUUGGAGCACGACUCCACCGAAUCCGAGCCCGCGGAAUACAACCGUCUGAGGCUCCAGGCCUUGCUAAAGAAAUCUCAGGAGUAUCGGGGGCGCCAGCGGAUGCUCAGGAACCAAGCCAAGAACACCAGAAUUCAGGAGAGGGCCCAAGAACGGACGAGGGCGGAGGAGAGCCUCUCUGAUAAGGAGAAUGACGAGUUCCCUGGCAAAACCACCGUGACCACAGAGGGGAAGAACACUAGAGAGAGGAGGGGCGCCUUUAUCCCGUCUGCGGAAACGUCGCCAAAGAAGUCUCGGAAAAAUGAGAGUAUAAUUGAUAGUGAGUUUUUUUGGGGGAAGGGCGAACUUUGA